GACAGAGGGGGCAAGCGUUGCUCGGAAUCACUGGGCGUAAAGGGCGCGUAGGCGGGACGGCAAGUCGGUCGUGAAAGCCUCCGGCUCAACCGGAGAAUGUCGGCCGAUACUGCCGUUCUUGAGGGAUGCAGAGGAGACUGGAAUUCCCGGUGUAGCGGUGAAAUGUGUAGAGAUCGGGAGGAACACCGGUGGCGAAGGCGGGUCUCUGGGCAUCUCCUGACGCUGAGGCGCGAAAGCGUGGGGAGCAAACGGG
rnacentral:rRNA from 1 species